rnacentral:rRNA from 1 species
GAUGAACGCUGGCGGCGUGCCUAAUACAUGCAAGUCGAGCGAACGGACGAGAAGCUUGCUUCUCUGAUGUUAGCGGCGGACGGGUGAGUAACACGUGGAUAACCUACCUAUAAGACUGGGAUAACUUCGGGAAACCGGAGCUAAUACCGGAUAAUAUUUUGAACCGCAUGGUUCAAAAGUGAAAGACGGUCUUGCUGUCACUUAUAGAUGGAUCCGCGCUGCAUUAGCUAGUUGGUAAGGUAACGGCUUACCAAGGCAACGAUGCAUAGCCGACCUGAGAGGGUGAUCGGCCACACUGGAACUGGGACACGGUCCAGACUCCUACGGGAGGCAGCAGUAGGGAAUCUUCCGCAAUGGGCGAAAGCCUGACGGAGCAACGCCGCGUGAGUGAUGAAGGUCUUCGGAUCGUAAAACUCUGUUAUUAGGGAAGAACAUAUGUGUAAGUAAAUGUGCACAUCUUGACGUUACCUAAUCAGAAAGCCACGGCUAACUACGUG